UAAAAAAUUAUUACAUUCUUAGAUGUUAGUAAGUUUUCUGCAGAAGUGUCUGGAUACUUCAAAGGCUUUGCUGUAUUUAAUAAUUGAACAAGACACCACCAUAGGUAUGUUAACACAUUUACAGAAUCUAGGAAAUGACAGGACUUAGCAGUGAGGAAUGGAGCAUGGAUUUAGAAAUCAGCAGAUGUGGUGUGAAAGCUCAAACCCUGCACAUGCUUGCUGUAGGACCUCAGGCAAAACACAUCUCCGAGACUGUUCAUUCCUCUGUACGUUACUUACCUUAUGGUUAUGGUAAUGAUAAAGUCAGUUAAUAUAUGAGAAGUACUUGGAAUAUAAUAAAUGCUAAAUAAUUGGUUACUCUUAUCCCUGUGCCUAUUCUUAAUUCUGAACUUCCAUUACUGGCACUUUAUAUUAGGUACUAAAUGGCUACCAAAGAAGACAAUGGGAUUAACGCCUGUGUCUUCAAGGCUCCCUGCUCUGGCCACCACCACCUACUAUCACUAACGGCUGCUUAAAUGUCUUCGGUUCCCGCCGGUGCCACCCGAGGCCCAAUCACCUCUUGCCACCCCCUAAUCCUGGCACCUGGCCAAUAGCCACCAGUCCCGUUGAAGUGACACCUCAAUCAGCUUAUGUCCCUCCCUAUAUAACCUAGUACUUUUCCCCAAUAAAGUGGAACUCUCCGGUGAA